AAAUUAUAGGUCCUGUUUAACAUUCAGCUCUGUUAACUCACUCUUAUCUUUUUGUGUUUUUACACUUUGUCAAGAUUUCUUUACAUAUUCAUCAAUGUCUGAAGAAAUUACUUAUGCAGAUCUUAAGUUCCAGAACUCCAAUGAGAUGGAAAAAAUCGAAGAAAUUGGCAAAUUUGGGGAAAAAGCACCUCCAUCUCGCUCUCGUGUAUGGCGUCCAGCAGCCUUGUUUCUGACUCUUCUGUGCCUUCUGAUGCUCAUUGGAUUGGGAGUCUUGGCAAGCAUGUGUAUGUACUGCUCCUGUUUUGGUCAAAAGAGAAAGUGUCUGGAAUUUCAAAUAUUUAACAACAAAAGUUUACUCCUUGAGUGGAAGAUUUAUAAUAAUGACAGGUGACAGGCCCACAAGGAGGACUUACAAUGUGGAACUUAGUCUCUUUCCCUCACUCCUGUAGAGUAAUUGCUUUUCCUACCCCUUUAAUCUUUAUACUACUUCUGCAAAUGAUAAAGGAUGAUGGCUCUAUUGAGAAUUUACAAUUUUUUGUCAUUUUUUUAAUGUGGAGUUCACAUAACUUUGAAGAUAGAAAUGAAAAAAAUGAACAAACUACAAAACAUCAAUGAAGAGCUCCAGAGAAACUUUUCUCUACAACUGAUGAGUAACAUGAAUAGCUCCAACAAGAUCAGGAACCUCUCCACCACACUGCAAACAAUAGCCACCAAAUUAUGUCGUGAGCUAUAUAGCAAAGAACAAGAGCACAAAUGUAAGCCUUGUCCAGGGAGAUGGAUUUGGCAUAAGGACAGCUGUUAUUUCCUAAGUGAUGAUGUCCAAACAUGGCAGGAGAGUAAAAUGGCCUGUGCUGCUCAGAAUGCCAGCCUGUUGAAGAUAAACAAUAAAAAUGCAUUGGAAUUUAUAAAAUCCCAGAGUAGAUCACGUGACUAUUGGCUGGGAUUAUCUCCUGAAAAUGGUUACACUCCUGAUAUGAGAGUGGAUAAUAUAAUCAACUCCUCUGCCUGCAGGUAAGUGACCCAGCUGCUGCUUCUAUAACCCAUAGUAGUGACUUGGACUGAGAGAAAAGGGAAUCUCAAGAAUAAGAGUUUCUAGUACUGCCUCCUGUUCUAAGUGUCCAGUGACUUACAUAUUUUCUGAGAUACCCGAGCCAUCCUCCCACUUCCAGACCUCAUUCGACUUCUGGCGAGAUAAUCCGACCCAACGAAUUAAACUAGUCCUGGCUUUGAUGUAUUCCUAUUGUAAACAUAAAUAAACACAAUGGUCAGAAUCCCUCCACAGCUCUUGGUAAUGAUAGACAAAGCUUCAUGGUAAGACACUGGACAAAAAAUGUUGGAUUACAUGUCUAUAUUAAUAUUAAUGGAUUACAUUUGAUGUUUGAAAUUGUACCAAUUUGACUUGUCUGAGAACUUAAAAAAAACUUAUAGGACACAGGUAAAAUUGUACACAAAAUAGCUGAUGUUCUAAUCCUCCUUUGUGUUUAUAACAUAUAUUUAGAUCUUCAAUCAGUUGAGGAUUAUACUCCCAAAUAGAAUACCAAAUAUGAUUCAAAGGAAUAAAUGUAAGCAGAGAAAGGAAACACAAAGAAAUACAUUGUUGAUGAGCUGUAUAUUCCUUAGAGUUAAAGCCCUACCUGCUUUGGUUAUUGCUCAGCUUGCCUAUAAAAUCUUACAUAUAGAAGUA
rnacentral:sRNA from 1 species